rnacentral:rRNA from 1 species
GAUGAACGCUGGCGGCGUGCCUAAUACAUGCAAGUCGAACGCGCAGCGAAAGGUGCUUGCACCUUUCAAGCGAGUGGCGAACGGGUGAGUAACACGUGGAUAACCUGCCUCAAGGCUGGGGAUAACAUUUGGAAACAGAUGCUAAUACCGAAUAAAACUUAGUAUCGCAUGAUACAAAGUUAAAAGGCGCUACGGCGUCACCUAGAGAUGGAUCCGCGGUGCAUUAGUUAGUUGGUGGGGUAAAGGCUUACCAAGACGAUGAUGCAUAGCCGAGUUGAGAGACUGAUCGGCCACAUUGGGACUGAGCCACGGCCCAUACUCCUACGGAAGGCUGCAGUAGGGAAUCUUCCACAAUGGGCGCAAGCCUGAUGGAGCAACGCCGCGUGUGUGAUGAAGGCUUUCGGGUCGUAAAGCACUGUUGUAUGGUAAGAAAUGCUAAAAUAGGGAAUGAUUUUAGUUUGACGGUACCAUACCAGAAAGGGACGGCUAAAUACGUGCCAGCAGCCGCGGUAA